rnacentral:rRNA from 1 species
AACGUAGGAGACAAACGUUAUCCGGAGUUACUGGGCGUAAAGGGCGUGUAGGUGGUUUCGUAAGUCUGGCGUGAAAUUUUUCGGCUUAACCGGGAAAGGUCGUCGGAUACUGCGGGACUGGAGGACGGUAGAGGCGUGUGGAAUUCCGGGUGUAGUGGUGAAAUGCGUAGAGAUCCGGAGGAACACCAGUGGCGAAGGCGACACGCUGGGCCGUACCUGACACUGAUGCGCGACAGCGUGGGGAGCAAACAGG